UUUUUGCUAAAAAUUACAUGUGUAGGAAAAAGUUUAGCUAUAGUAAAAACGAGCCUUAAAAACAUAGGUUGGGGAACGCUGCUAAGAAUGAUGUGAAAUGAUAUGCACUGAAGUUUUUAACCAAAACCGACUUUAUGUCGUUUACACACUAGGAGUAUUACAUCCACUCGUAUACCUGGCAAUAAAGUUGCUUGACUGUGAUCCAAUGCUGAACUAUGGAGACUAAAAAACAAAUCGACAAAUAUAUUUACAUAUGUACAUACAUGUAAGUACAUACAUAUAUCUGUUGGGGAAUUCGCUGGCAGUGCAAAUACAAUAAGAAUAAGUGAUUUGACGAAAUAUUCUAUCCGUAUUGAGGUUAUUGCAUGGGAAAGGAUGUAGAUGCUCAUUAAGCAAACUAGCGGGUACAGUAGGAUGUCGAUCAAUGAAACCCGAAAUUAAAAGGUACAUAUUUUAAAAGUCCAAAAUAAGGAUAUCCAUGUGUGCAGAAAACGACGACAAUACACAUAUAACGAUAAUGGCAAACUUAAAUAUAACAACAUAUAAAUAAAAUAAACAAAUAAUAAAAUUUUCAUCAUUGUGUAAAAGAAGAAUUGUCGAAAGCGAUGGAACUAAUUCCAUCUUCAGCUUAUCGAUAUUUCAUAUGCGGGAUUCUAGGUACUAGCGUAGUGUUCUAAAUAAAUUUAGACCUUAAAAAUAUUUUAUGAAAAUGUCUGCUCAAAAUAAAUUAUUGAACUAUCUGUUGGCCAACUGACCACAAAUCUGUGCCAAGCGAACGGCGUAUAAAUUUCGUUUUGUAAACUACUAUAUGGACAAUUUAGUGCUGUUUUCCC